rnacentral:snRNA from 1 species
GGAUGUAAGGGCAAUCUGGCUGCAAUAUCUGUCACCCCAUUGAUCGCCAGGGUUGAUUUGGCUGAUCUGGCAGGCUAGGCGGGUGUCCCUUCCUCCCUCACUACUCCAUGUGGGUCCCUCCCAAAGUUGCGCACUUGGUGGAAGAGGACAACCAUCCCAGAGAGGAGUGUACUGCUCUUUGGUCAAGGGUAUACGAGAGCUGCGCUCCCUGCUAGAACCUCCAAACAAGCUCAAAUCAUUCUUAGUUUUGUUUAAUCAGAGUGGAAAAACUACAGUCUACUGUUUUAAACCCCCUAUUUUAGG